GUGAAAUCCUAAGGUGUACACUGUGGGAAGAUUUUGCUCAACAAUUUUUACAAUAUGUUGCUGAAGGACACGAUGGUCCAGUGGUUCUUAUUCUGCAGUUGGCUAAAAUGAAAAUGUACAAAGAGUAAAAAACAAACAAGGGCUACAGAUCCUAAUAGAAAAUCAUGAUGAUCUACCUUCUGACAAAACAAUUCAUGUUGUGUACGAGAGAGUAUUUUCAAAUAUAACUCUAUAAGGUCAAGAAAGCAUGCACGAAGCAACAAGGGAUUUGUGUCAGAAGAUUCUGGAUCGCUGUCUUAUGUGCAGUUCAUGUUUUACACCGCAAUUCCGCUCCUUGCUGUUCUUUAUGAAUGAAGACCAUUUGUUAAUCUUUUUUAGUAUUACACAAUAAUCUAACCAUUGGUUUCAUCAGCCUUUCAAUUUCCACUUCAAGACUUUAGACA